CCUACGGGUGGCUGCAGUUUCGAAUCAUUCACAAUGGGCGAAAGCCUGAUGGUGCGACGCCGCGUGAGGGAUGAAGGCCUUCGGGUUGUAAACCUCUGUCACUGGGGAAGAAACGCUUCAAGUUAAUAGCUUGAAGCCUGACUUAACCCAGAGAGGAAGCAGUGGCUAACUCUGUGCCAGCAGCCGCGGUAAUACAGAGACUGCAAGCGUGAUGCGGAUUCACUGGGCGUGAAGGGGUGGCAGAGGGCCGAAAGCCCGGGGCUUAACCUCGGAAUUGCGCCUAAAACUACACGGCUAGAGCAUUGGAGAGGGUAGCGGAAUUCACGGUGUAGCAGUGAAAUGCGUAGAUAUCGUGAGGAACACCAGAGGCGAAGGCGGCUACCUGGACAAUUGCUGACGCUCAGGCACGAAAGCGUGGGGAGCAAAAGGGAUUAGAUACCCGGGUAGUC
rnacentral:rRNA from 1 species